AAAAGACUCUCGGCAACGGAUAUCUCGGCUCUUGCAUCGAUNNNNAACGCAGCGAAAUGCGAUACUUGGUGUGAAUUGCAGAAUCCCGUGAACCAUCGAGUCUUUGAACGCAAGUUGCGCCCGAAGCCAUUAGGCCGAGGGCACGCCUGCCUGGGUGUCGCACAUCGUUGCCCC
rnacentral:rRNA from 1 species